UACAGAGGGUGCAAGCGUUAAUCGGAAUUACUGGGCGUAAAGCGUGCGUAGACGGUUAUGUAAGUCGGGUGUGAAAGCCCCGGGGCUCAACCUGGGAAUUGCAUUCGAGACUGCAUAGCUAGGGUGCGGAAGAGGGAAGCGGAAUUUCCGGUGUAGCGGUGAAAUGCGUAGAUAUCGGAAGGAACACCAGUGGCGAAAGCGGCUUCCGUGGUCCAGCACCGACGUCAGGCACGAAAGCGUGGGGAGCAAACAGG
rnacentral:rRNA from 1 species